GGAGUUACAUAUAGUUGUAAGCCACCUAGUGGGUGCUAGGAACCAAACCUGGGUUGUCUGGAAGAGCAGCCAAUGCUCCUAAUGGCUAAGACAUCUCUCAGGCCCACCAAAGCUUUUUAUGUGAGGACUAGACUGGGAGUGAAUUCAUUCAGGGCAAGCACUACUGAACACACUAUUCCCCUCCAGCUCCCAUGAUCAAUUGUUAACAACAAAGAAACUUGUGCUAUUUAUAAGUUCUUGUUCUCCUAAAUAUCCCUCCAAUUGAUCUGUUUGUUUUUCAAGACAGGAUUUCUCCAGAAGACUCUAGUUGUCCUAAAACUCUCUGACCUGGCUGGCCUAGAACUCUCAGAGAUCUGCCUGCCUCUGCCUCCCAAAUGCUGGAUUAAAGAAAUGGAAUUCUUGGAUAAGACAGUGCACCAAGUGUAUACCUGGUGCCCAAGGAGGCCAGAAGAAGGUAUCAGAUCCCCUGGAACUGGAGUGAUAGCUGGUUGUAAGCCAAAUUUAAAAUCUGCUCCAUACCAUCCAAGCCUUCUUUUUCCUCUCUCACCCUCUCCUCCUCCUUUCCUAUUUUCUAUCUUGGAGCUAGAGAUUGAGCCUCCAGCCUUUUGUCCUCCUAAACAUCCCUUCAACUGAUCUUCUGGUUUGUUUCUCGAGAAAGGAUUUCUCCAGAAGCCGCUGGUUAUCCUGAAACAGCCUCUGUAGACCUAGUGAGGGCUAACUAUACCUGAGCACCCUGUAGACCUAGUGAGGGCUAACUAUACCCGAGCACCCUGUUUUUAUAUCAAAGUCUGUAAAGCAUGAAAUGCAUGUAGAAACAUAUUAAAUGGGCUAAAAUGU